rnacentral:antisense_RNA from 1 species
CGUUGUACUCGUAAGGCCUUCGAGAUAGAACGUUUCAGACUUUAGUGUGGAAUGAAACGAUUCGAUGGGGGCGUUAUCAGCGG